CCUACGGGUGGCAGCAGUGAGGAAUAUUGGUCAAUGGGCGUAAGCCUGAACCAGCCAAGUCGCGUGAGGGAUGAAGGCUCUAUGGAUCGUAAACCGCUUUUAUAAGGGAGUAAAGUGCGGGACGUGUCCCGGGUUGUAUGUACCUUAUGAAUAAGGAUCGGCUAACUCCGUGCCAGCAGCCGCGGUAAUACGGAGGAUCCGAGCGUUAUCCGGAUUUAUUGGGUUUAAAGGGUGCGUAGGCGGCUUUUUAAGUCAGAGGUGAAAGUUUGUGGCUCAACCAUAAAAUUGCCGUUGAGACUGGGAGGCUUGAGUAUGGUUGAGGCAGGCGGAAUGAGUGGUGUAGCGGUGAAAUGCUUAGAGAUCACGCAGAACCCCGAUUGCGAAGGCAGCCUGCCAAGCUAUGACUGACGCUGAUGCACGAAAGCGUGGGGAUCAAACAGGAUUAGAUACCCCAGUAGUC
rnacentral:rRNA from 1 species